AGCAGCCGCGGUAAUUCCAGCUCCAAUAGCGUAUAUUAAAGUUGUUGCAGUUAAAAAGCUCGUAGUUGAAUUUCGGGAUUCUACCGUCGGUCGGGCUAACAAGUCUGUACUGGUGUGUAGAAUUUCUACCUUCUGGGGAACUAUCAUGUUAUUAAUUUAGCGUGGUGGGAAACCAGGACCUUUACCUUAGAAAAAAUUAGAGUGUUCAAAGCAGGCUUACGUCUGAAUACAUUAGCAUGGAAUAAUAGAAUA
rnacentral:rRNA from 1 species